rnacentral:lncRNA from 1 species
AAAAGUGCAGCUGGAGAAUUUACGUGUACAUAUCAUUCAUUUAAUUCCAGAAGCCUUUUUUUCCCCAGUGAAGAUGAUCUCUAAUUCCCUCACGUGUCUACAUCUCAGAGGAGGCAGUGUGAGCCCAACAGUUUGAUGCUGCAAAGGCUGACUGACAAUGAAGACCCCCAGCUUAUAAGUUUCCCAGUAAAGCCUGUUCCUUUAUCUACGAUGCUGUGAACUUGCCUGAGCUCCAUUGUACAACAUCUACUUUGAGCUGCUUUCCAGAUGAUGACUAUUCUUUUGCCUUCCAUGCUCUCACCAUUGUAAGCUCUCUGGGGACCAACAUACAGAAUGAAGCAGCAAUCUUUCUAAUUGGAAGAAGGCAAAUAAAACCAUGAUCUAUUUUCCAGUGGGAUGUCUUUAAAGCACUUAAAAAGCAUCAUUUGGAUUUGGUAUGAGACUUGAGAAAUAUGUAAUUUUCAUUUCUCCGUUCUUAUUUAUGGCACUAUCAGUUUAGUUGAUUUGUAAAAUUUAUCCUGGCGUUUUCUGCCCUACAUCUCUAUGGAAAUAUCCAGGUUUGCUGAACAUGCCUCUUUUCUAUGGAUUUGAUGGAGGCACUGAAGAAAAGAAGUUGC